AGUGAACGCUGGCGGUAGGCCUAACACAUGCAAGUCGAACGGCAGCACAGUAAGAGCUUGCUCUUACGGGUGGCGAGUGGCGGACGGGUGAGGAAUACAUCGGAAUCUACUUUUUCGUGGGGGAUAACGUAGGGAAACUUACGCUAAUACCGCAUACGACCUACGGGUGAAAGCAGUGGAUCUUCGGACCUUGCGCGAUUCAAUGAGCCGAUGUCGGAUUAGCUAGUUGGCGGGGUAAAGGCCCACCAAGGCGACGAUCCGUAGCUGGUCUGAGAGGAUGAUCAGCCACACUGGAACUGAGACACGGUCCAGACUCCUACGGGAGGCAGCAGUGGGGAAUAUUGGACAAUGGGCGCAAGCCUGAUCCAGCCAUACCGCGUGGGUGAAGAAGGCCUUCGGGUUGUAAAGCCCUUUUGUUGGGAAAGAAAAGCAGCAGGUUAAUACCCCGCUGUUCUGACGGUACCCAAAGAAUAAGCACCGGCUAACUUCGUG
rnacentral:rRNA from 1 species